AAUCAACGCUGGCGGCGUGCCUCAGACAUGCAAGUCGAACGCGAAAGUUUCCUUCGGGGAACAAGUAGAGCGGCGAACGGGUGAGUAACACGUGGGUGACCUGCCUCUAGCUCUGGGAUAAGCCUGGGAAGCUGGGUCUAAUACCGGAUAUGACCUCGCGGUGCAUGUUGCGGGGUGGAAAGCCUUGUGCGGCUAGGGAUGGGCCCGCGGCCUAUCAGCUUGUUGGNGGGGUGAUGGCCUACCAAGGCGACGACGGGUAGCCGGCCUGAGAGGGCGACCGGCCACACUGGGACUGAGACACGGCCCAGACUCCUACGGGAGGCAGCAGUGGGGAAUCUUGCGCAAUGGGCGAAAGCCUGACGCAGCGACGCCGCGUGAGGGAUGACGGCCU
rnacentral:rRNA from 1 species